rnacentral:misc_RNA from 1 species
CAUUGAUUUCCGGUCUGCGGAUAUAUGUUUUUCCCCAAAUUUUUUUUUUGUGUUAUUUUCCCUCUCGCCUCUCUUUCUCUCUCUCUCUCACGCCUUUCCAACGGACUUUCAUCGAGAUAUCGAUCGGCGACGGGAGAUCUAACUCCACCGACGCUAUUUUUAAGUUUGUCCUCUCCCCUCCCGACGCUUUCUCACCAUUUUGUUCUCUAUCACCGUCACUACCCUCCAUCUCUAUCAGAGACCACCCAGCCAUCGGCAAUUAAUGCUGACGACGACAGC